UAUUAAGAAUAGUGGCAGGAGUUCAGCCUAAUCAAUUAAGAGAGAUUAGUAGGACAGCAGGAGAUUCAGGCAAGAAACAACUAUCUGCAGGAUGACUGCUCCACAGCCCACGAUUGCAAGGCUGAAACAAAAUGACAAGGGAAAGCAUGACCGUUUGCCUGCUUGAUCUUCAAGACCUCGAGAACUCGAUGAGAAGACAUGCAAUUGUUGAUGCUUUUCAGAGGCACAUCCUACAUAUGUGGUUAUUUUGUGUGAAUCAAGAUUCAAUAGUAGUACAUGAUGCUCUAGAGGAUAUUACUCAAGUGCAAGCGACAUCAUCACAACAAGCACAGAGAUCCAUGAGCACUAACAGGAACAAACAAACGCGCAUCAAACUUGGAGACGGCAAUAUCGGCGACGACGGUGUCUACGAGGCGAUGGCGACGGCGCGGCGCAUAUUCGGUGCCACCACUGAUCUCGGUCGUCGCCUCUACAGGGCUCUCGUCAAAACAAAUCUGCGAUCCUACUACCUAUCCCGGGCGGUCCGGAGACAAGGGCUUACCAGUGCGCCCCGCAGAAAGAGGUCUGGAGGGGGAGUUCCCGGACUACGUCUACUCCGGCGUCCGGCCCGGCAGCGGCGGCGGCGGCCUUCUCGAAGAAUGGAGACUGACCGGGGGAGGGAGACAGAGUUUUUCUUUAGUGCAGGGAGACAGAGGUUGGUUUGGUGUACUCGUCAUCGCCUGCCUCGUUGGUCUAUUCAUGUACUACUAGUAUUUUUUUUUUUUUUUGAAACAUACUCGUACGACUACUAUCCCGUCAAGCAAAACAAAAUUAGGUUUUCCAUUUUUGGAAGUUAAACAUUUCAAAUUUGAUCAAAAUUUUACAAAAAGUAGUUUUAACAUAUGUGAUACUAAAUUAUUAUAUUGUUGAACUACAUGUCAAGAUGAAUCUAGCGAGAUCAAUUUAGUGUCAUAAAUGGUACUACAUCCGACACUUAUUCUUGGUCGGAGUAAGUAUUAUUUUUAAUAAAGUUAGUCAAAGUUAAUAAAGUUUAACCGUUCUCCAAACAUAUAUGUAUUUGACAAUGGGGGAAGCAUGAUAUUUUUCUUACCAUUGACCCCAUCUAUACUAGGAAUAUUUUCACCGCGUUGGCUUGGUUUGUUGCGGCAUAAAAAAAUGCACAAAGGGAAAUUUAAAAACUCAGUUGGUCUUGUGUGGGGAAAAUAAGAACUAGCCCUCUCAUUUGUCCGCCCUCGGCACUUCUUCCUCAUCCCUCCUUCUCCCUUGGAAAUAUCCAUCAUCACACACUAGAACUCUCGCAUGGUCCAUCUAUGGGUUGCAGAGCUUGACUUUGCCACCAAGCUUUAGGAGAUGUCAUGACUGCGAGGAAUGGGUGGGCAUAGUCUGAUCUGGCAUGAAUACGAUGCUAAAAAAUGAACGUCAGUGAUUUACGGUUUUUCGAUGAUGCAUAUGCUAUUUUGACAUUGUUAUAAACUACGAUAUGCUAUGAUUUCUGGUGCAAAUGUUGCAUUCAUGCUGCAAUUGUUUGUUGUGUUUCCUGAAAACUUUUGUUUCUGAGUUGCAUAUGUGUGAGGAGUUAUGUCGAGUUGCAGACACAGAAAAAUAAAAGUGUUUCAGGUGUUGCUUGAAAUGCUACAGCGUUUUUGCAUGCUUUUGACAUAUCAGUGGAAAAUGUUGUCAUAAUGUUGCAAACCUGUAAAUAAAAAUUUGUGUGUGAAGGGUUACACUAUAAAUAUCGAACAACUCUAAGGGCGAAUGAUUUCCCCUAGUUCUCACUCAGUCGAUGCCUAGCUAUAGCCAUACAUAAAGUCUCAUAAGAGAGGGUGAUUGACAACCGAACUUAUAAACCAUAGCCGUUGAGGCGCCGACGGGAGUGGAGGAUGACACAAGGUCUAGUGCCCAUGUUCUAAGAGAAACCACUGCUUUGUGGAUCUCACAAGUGGCAACUUGCAAGAUACAAAUUUGUUGUCCAUGUGGCUGAUACGUGCAUUUUACAUCAUCAAUAUAUUAACUUAUAUGACUUGUUUUAAAUGCCGCAAUUUACCAAGAUCUAUCAUUAUCUACGCCAUUUUGUUGAUUUAUGGGACUUUCCUACAAAGUUCCUUUCAUUGGUAUUUAAUUUUUGGGAGACAGAAAACCUCCUUUUUCGUAUUUUGCUGUUUCAAAGACCUUCUAGACGUAAAAAAAUCAAAGGAAAAAUAUGUGAUCAAUUUUUCAUCAAGAGAAGGACCAUGGGCCAAAGAAACACGAGAGGGGAGCCACGAGGCCCGAAAGAUACUAGGUGGCGCGCCCCCCUCAACAUGGCGCGCCACCCAGGACCGCUUCGGCCUUGAGCAUCGUCUCGGAUCCCCAUGUUUACAGAUGCCUCCGUCUCGCCAGAAAACCUACGCCAUAUUUUUCCCAUGAUUUAUAGAGCCGAAGGCGAAAUUCCUCUCCUACUUCGGGACAGGAUAGCCUGCAGCACACCGGAGCCUCUUGUGAGGGGGAAAUCAACGCCAUCGUCAUCACCACUCCUCCUUGGCGUAGGGGGAGGUCUAUCCAUCAACAUCUCCAUAAGCACCAUCAUCAUCACCAUAUCCAUAUCCAAGAUCCACCUCAUUCCCCUCGUAGUUUGUGAUUGAUUGAACUCAAGAUAUUGUUUAAGUGUUAUUUGCAUGUUUGUGAUUGGCAACUUGUCUUUAUUAGGUAGAGAUAUUAUAUUUUUCAGAUUGUGCUGUAAUCCAUAUGCCUCUGAACCAUAUAACGUUUGUCACAUUUGAGUAGAUCCCUAUGUUCUUGAGGGCAUAGGAUGAAUUGGCUAUGAUUUCCAUAUAAUAUGCAAUGAGUAUUUGGUCAAAUUUUUAUCUUUUAUGUGGUUCUAUAAUGGUUUUGUGCGAACUUUGACUGCAUAUUACUUCACCUAUAUGGGCGUAUAGGGCUGCACUUUGAUGUAAUGAUGAGGGUUGAAAGGAAUGGAAUGACAGAAACCGUCUUCCAAUACUUUGAGUUGCAUUAGUUAGAGGGAUUUAUGUCGGGGACCAAUGAACUAACUGCUAUGGUGGGACAUUUAUGUCUUAAUGAUUCAUAUACUUGAUCAUGAAAAUGGCUCUAGGAACCAUCAUAAGAGUUGUAUUUUCUCAUAUCUAUGGUUGCACUUAAUUUAGGCUCCGCCCUAAAGGAAUGAAACUUGAUAGUAUAUUCACCAAGUUGUGUAGAAAUCUAAAUGUUGAGUAAAUCGAUGCCGCCCCCGGGAAACGCUUGUCACAUGUUCACACACACUUGAGCUUGUUCUCUUGCUACAUAGAGGAUUGGGAUUUCUCUCAUUGAGAGCAUUUACUUGCUUCUAUUUACUUUCGGUACUUUAUUUUAUCGCAAACUACAAACCUAAAGCACCAAAAUCAUUGCAUCCUUUUAUUGUUUUACUUGUCAAACGUACUAACCAAUACCUUUAGCUCCUCGUGGGUUCGACAGCCUUUCUUAUUGAAAAGUACUACAAUUGAUCUCCUACACUUGGGAGCCAUGAAUGGCUCAUGCGUAACUUUACGAUCCCAUAUCCACCGCAUUUCCACAAAGAAGGCGGAGAAGAUUGACACUUUUAGGCGCUUUCUAUAUUAUACAGACCAUUCCCCCAGAAUUACGCUUUCUAGUACAUAUCGAUGCAACCGCUAGCCCCUCGAACAGAUGUCACUAGCCUUACGUACAAUGUCAAGUUGUGUUAUCAUGACAUGUUAAUGUACAAGGACGUAAAAACCCUAAAUGAUGAUGUGGCUCAAUUACAAAGGUUGUGAACACAGUAAUUUAUCGAUCUUGUUCAACAUAGAAAGGACCUAGUAAUAGGGCAUAUAAUGGUGGUGUGGAGCGAAGAGGGAGAGAUGAAGAGGCGUUGAGGAAACAUUAUUGACACGUGAAGGUAGUGCAACUAGAGGAUAUGGAGUGGUAGAGUAAUUAUGUAGGAGAGAUGUAUGGUCAAGUGCAUGAAGUUCGCAAAGUUUGUUCAAGACUAUGGCAUAGUGAGACAUGAAUCUUGAAUAAUACCGAUAAAUUUACAGGAAACCCAAGGAGCUUGUAGGACACAUGGGAAUUAAUGUUGAAAUGGUAGGAGAGGGGAGGGCACACGUUACAACUAAUGGAUACGAGGCCAAGAGCAUAAUGUGCUACUCGUGACCAACUAAUGAUGAUGUGGCUCAUGUACAUAGUAACAUGGAAGGUUGUGGCGGCAAAAAUAGACGAGUUGGCACAAAUAUGAUGUGGCAUAGUUGUAUAAUGAGAAAAUUAUUUGUAGUGAGAGGCUGCUAUUUAGAUAUAGAAGAUUUAUUCGGGAGCGGCCAGAGCUCAUAUUAGUCGAUUGAGAGCUAACUUAAUUCCCAUUUGCAACACAUGUGCCAUGUUGGCAUGGAUCCAACGGUUUGGGACAUUUUUCUAUGUUGCAAACUAUGUGUAAUGGGGAAAAGCUUCAAAAAAAUGUGUAAUGGGGAAGAUUGUAGUUGAGACCGCAAAAAUCUAGGUUGCAACUCAUGUGUCACUCUCAUGGUAGCACGAGCCACGGCGCAAUCUAGUCAUUCAGGAAUUAGCAAAACCAUAUUUGCGUUUGUUGGCAGCAUGAAAGUCUAUCAAGGGGCAUGGAAUAUGGAACCUGCCCAAUCAAUCUGCCUACUAGUCUAGUAUUCAACCAAAUGUAGCCGCAAAUAGAGACGACAUGACAUCUACCGCAGGUAGCAGUGCCUACAUGAUUUACCUAUGCUUACCUCUCCCAUCGGCAUGUUACAUGGCUAAUUCAUGAGUCCUCAAGGGUUAGACAUCGGUCUACAACGAUCAGCCAUCAAGCGGUUUGGGAUCCUACAAUGUUAUGUUAUGGCACCAAUCAGCUACACCAUGCAUAGUCGUUCGUUGGAGGAAAAAAGUAGUCCUCGAGAGGCUAUUAUACAAAAGCGAGAAAUUUCUUUCGCCACACAGAGACGUACAAUAUUUAAAAAAACAAGACUCACAACCCCUGAAUAUAAUUUAUUAUCUAUUUGACAAAACAAAACAAAAAUAACAAUGCAAAGAAGAAGUUUCAAAAAAGGAGGAUAGCUAGUGCUGAAAUAACUUUAAACAAAAAGAGGUAGAUACUCGGACUUGAUGUAAUUUUUCCAUGAAACAUCAUCUUCAAGGCUUAUGUUGCAAAUUCACUAUAAAAAUGCUACAAACUCCUACCAACUACAAACGAGAUCACAUCACAAGAAAAGUUACACAUGAUGGUAUUUAUCAAGACCUCUUUGACUACAUUUGGAUUCAUAAGAUUUUUUUGGAAGAAUUGGAGAAAAUUAGAGGGACCGCACGUCCACAUCAGUGUCGAAUAUGACUAAGUUCAUAAAGUAUACAUAAGCCCAAGCUCAUAAGUUCCACCCAUGCUUGUGUAGUUGUACUCAACCAAAUAUUCAGCGGGGCAUGUGGGAUUUUGUGACUAAUGAAUUCAUGAAGGAGCAGGCAUGCUUCCGGCGAUCAUGGUGAAGUCAACACAAAAUUUUAGGAAUCGUGUAUAUGUAGGUGAGACUCUUUCUUCCUUGACAAGGUUAGCCUCCCAUGUACCCACCUUUUUCUCCUCCUCGGUGAGCUCCUCGUGUCAUUUACGACAUCACACUCCUCGCGUCAAGUGUCUAGAUCUUUUACUAUCUUCAUGCCCAUCACACGAGUCUUUCCUUUAAGAUUCUUCAAGAGGUUUACAAUCUCUUGAAUCUUCUUCAUCAACAUGUCCUCGCUGCCCUCAUCGUCACAGUCUCACGGAUGAAAACACCACUUGAGAUAGAAGAGGAAAUGUAAACAUUGUUUGAGGGACCACAGGAACAAGAGACGCCUAUGUCGCAUACGCUAAGGGAGGCAUGGCUGAAUCACCCCCGUGGCAAGCUAGCGCGACACCCUCAACAUCGAAACAUGCAGAAGGCCAUUGCCAAGAAAUGAAGGUCGUGACAUCGGUAUGAAGGGGCUUGAACAAAUACGACUCCCUUUUGCUCCGAUUAUAAAGAUGGUGCACACCCAGAAAUGAAUAACCACAAAGACGCACACACCCACACAAAGACACAACAACAUAAGCACAUGCAAUCCAACAAAGCGCCAUGGCGGAUCGCGCAUGUAAAUGUGAAUAUAUAGUAUAGAGUUAUCCCUCUGAUCAAAACUAAAAGAGGCGUAUUUUUUGUAAUAUUUUUUGGCAAAGAUUAGAGUAUGUGUGGAUUGUCUGACAUCCCCACUAUCCUAUUUAUCUCAACAUGCAGCUAUGCCACAUCAUAGAUGAUGCCACCUCAGUUUUUUCUGCCAUGUCAUCAAUUGGUGGCACAAUCCGUUUCAUUUUCUCUUCGCAUACUUUCCAUGCAUGUGUCCUCUUCUCUUCCCCUCCACCAGCACAUCAUUAAUUGUAUUGCGUCCUCUCGUAUUCACAUCCUGAUUUGUAACAGCAGCAGUCUGUAUAUCUACUCGCUUCUAUUUCUUCACCAGAUGAAGGCCGAGCGUGGUACCUUGCUAUCCUGGAUGAAGACUGACGGUGCUGAUUCCGCAGUCAUUUUCCUGCGGCGCACGUCGCUAAUGCUUUAUGUCUGCAGUUGUAAUGGUCAAGGUGAUGGGGAUAUCUCGCCUAUUGAAUCAUAGCAGAGCAGUCAUCAAGGAAUCAUCCGCUGCUGCCGGCCGGCCGGCGAGCCCCCUACAUCCAUUGCUCCAGUACCUCGUCUCCAGGUGGCUUUGGCUAGCUUGCACGGUGAAUUCGAUCCCUCCUCGACCUGUACAUCUAUCUAGCCUGAUGAAGUGAUGAUUGAUCCGCCCUCUCAACAUGUAUUCUUGCUGACCAGCAAUCAUCACUUUCUCUCGGUCAUGUACUUAUAUAUGUUAUCGCCAAAAAAAAUACUCAGGUAUGUAAUUCUGUAAUCAUUUCCCUGAAAAAUAAUUCUCUAAUCUUGCUUCAGUGGUACUAAAUAAAAUAAUGGCUUGAUCUUUGCCAUCCACCUCCAUUUUCUUUCAAGCUUAACUAUAUUAUUCUUCACAUGUUGUUUGCAGCAGGCAUAUGUCACAAAUAUAGGCUAAUGAAGUACGCACACAAGGAUGAGUGAUGUCGUAUGGCCCUAGAGCACACUAGGACCAUUGAUAUAUCGCAUGGCCCUGGAGCACAAUAUUUCUUUUCUAUUGUUGGAUCUUAUGAAUGUUUAUGACUCAAGACUAUCUAUCCUUCAAAAUACAUAGAUAAAGCAGGACGAAAGUAUUUGGUAUUUUCUCUGCCGUUUCUUCUAAUGGAUUAUGUUGUAUGAUGCUGGAAUUAACCUCAGCAGAACUAUUGGUGUAGUUUUAUUUCCACUUCCACCCAAGUUGUUAUGUCAUUACUUCCAAUUUCAAGCCCGAUGGAUAUAUAGUCCGUCGAGUUUAGUCUAGCUAUUCAUGGUGUUCUACCUAGAUUAACCAAAGUGUAUUUUGCGGGCUAUGCUUUACAGUCCAAACCAGAGAUUAAAUAAAGACAUACGUUUUGAACUAA